rnacentral:misc_RNA from 1 species
UGCUGCGGCUGCUGAGGCGGCUGUUGCUGAUGAGGGUUGUGAAGAUGGUGCUGAUGAGGUGGUAGAUCACCAUUGCUUGAGACAACUUCAAUAAUCAUGCUAUCUCUGGUGGCAGGCUGAAGUUCUUCCUUGUAGAAAUGGAUGGGGCGAGGCUUUUCCGAUAAAUACAUGAUUAUUGAAGAAGAUCAAAAUCAGGAUUUCAGGGUAAUGGGUAAUUUUAGAAAUAGAUGGGAUUGAAGAAAGUGAAGGAUUUCAUGAGUAGAAGAAGAAGAGAACCCAUUGUUUUUGGAGAAUGAAUUCAAGAUUGGUG